UACGAAGGGGGCUAGCGUUGCUCGGAAUGACUGGGCGUAAAGGGCGCGUAGGCGGUUUGUACAGUCAGGUGUGAAAUUCCCGGGCUCAACCUGGGGGCUGCACUUGAUACGUAUGGACUGGAGUGGGGAAGAGGGUCGUGGAAUUCCCAGUGUAGAGGUGAAAUUCGUAGAUAUUCGGAAGAACACCAGUGGCGAAGGCGGCAACCUGGUCCUUGACUGACGCUGAGGCGCGAAAGCGUGGGGAGCAAACAGG
rnacentral:rRNA from 1 species